AGUGGAUAGUGGUAGCAGAAUUCCCUGCAGCUAAGCACAGCAGGAGUAUCAGGCAAGGCUCCUGGUGGCAAACAACAGAGGCCAAUGCCAGCUCCUUAGCAAAAUGGGGAUUUCUUAGAAGAAUGUCAAUGUUCUCAGACUCCCAUGAAGGAAGAUGGGGACCAGGAGUUCAAAGGGUCCAGCAGCAGAAGCCUGCCUGGGCUGACACUGAAGGAACUGGACUGACUUCUGUUGCCGAGAUCACUUUACACAACAGAAGGCAGACUCCUUGAUGAUGACACAGAGCAGUUUGCUAGCACUGAUGACUAGACCAGAAAGGCCUGGACCUGCAGCUGGAAGUGAAAGCAACUUGGUUAUCUGAGAUGCUUCCCUCUCUUCCUUUAAGCACCAAUUCAUGAACUCAUCACUGGCUCACCUUUAAGAUGCUUGUUGCUAUUCACAACUCCACUUGCUCCUCUAAUCAGCUUGGGAUGGUGGCCACUGGUUCAUGAGAUGUGGCCCUCUCUCUCUGGCUAAGCCAACUUGAAAGGUGAAAUCACUGCCCUCCCC